GAAAUGCGAUAAGUAAUGUGAAUUGCAGAAUUCAGUGAAUCAUCGAAUCUUUGAACGCACAUUGCGCCCGUCAGCAUUCUGGCGGGCAUGCCUGUUCGAGCGUCAUUUCAACCCUCAGGACCCCCCUUUCGCGGGGAGGGACCUGGCGUUGGGGAUCGGCCCGCCCCCCGUGGCGGCGCCGUCCCCGAAAUCUAGUGGCGGUCUCGCUGCAGCCUCCCCUGCGUAGUAGUUACAACCUCGCAUCGGAGCGCGGCGCGGCCACGCCGUAAAACCCCCGACUUUCUGAACGUUGACCUCGGAUCAGGUAGGAAUACCCGCUGAACUUAAGC
rnacentral:misc_RNA from 1 species